AUUGAACGCUGGCGGCAUGCCUUACACAUGCAAGUCGAACGGUAACAGGUUAAGCUGACGAGUGGCGAACGGGUGAGUCAUGUAUCGGAACGUGCCCAGUCGUGGGGGAUAACUGCUCGAAAGAGCAGCUAAUACCGCAUACGACCUGAGGGUGAAAGCGGGGGAUCGCAAGACCUCGCGCGAUUGGAGCGGCCGUUCUCAGAUUAGGUAGUUGGUGAGGUAAAGGCUCACCAAGCCAACGAUCUGUAGCUGGUCUGAGAGGAGGACCAGCCACACUGGGACGGAGAAACGGCCCAGAUUCCUAGGGAAGGAGGAGGAGGGAAAUUUUGGAAAAGGGGGGAAAGCUGGCGCCAGCACGGCGGGGGGGGGGUAGAAGUCCUUGGAGCGGUAAACCGCGUUUGUAAGGGAAGAAAAGGUUCUGGCUAAUACCUGAGACUCAGGACGGAACUUGAAAGAUAGGCACGGGUAAACUACGU
rnacentral:rRNA from 1 species